GAUGAACGCUGGCGGCGUGCUUAACACAUGCAAGUCGAACGAGAAAUGUAGACGGAAACCUUCGGGCGGAAGCCUUCAUUUCGAGUGGCGGACGGGUGAGUAACGCGUGGGUAACCUGCCUCAUACAGGGGGAUAACAGUUGGAAACGACUGUUAAUACCGCAUCAGACCACAGCAUCGCAUGAUGCGGCGGUAAAAACUCCGGUGGUAUGAGAUGGACCCGCGUUCGAUUAGCCAGCUGGCGGGGUAACGGCCCACCAAAGCGACGAUCGAUAGCCGAUCUGAGAGGAUGACCGGCCACAUUGGGACUGAGACACGGCCCAAACUCCUACGGGAGGGAGCAGUGGGGAAUAUUGCACAAUGGGGGAAACCCUGAUGAAGCGACGCCGCGUGAGUGAAGAAGUACUUCGGUAUGUAAAGCUCUAUCAGCAGGGAAGAAAAUGACGGUACCUGAGAAAGAAGCCCCGGCUAACUACGUG
rnacentral:rRNA from 1 species